UUGUUUUUUUUGUUGAGAGCUGCUCAGAUGUCCAAAUGACUUGAAAUUUGGAGCGGGCCUCACGCAUCAAAUUGUCUACCACACAAAAUAAAAUUUGGAAUCUUUUGAAAAAAAAUCGAUUUUUUUACAAAUUUUUUUCUAGCCGGGCGCAGAUGAGACUGAGCACCGAAACGCCCUACUCCAUGGUUAUGAUGUUCUUACAGGCUGCAUAUUUUUUAGUUAAAAUACUGUCAGUGCUAAAGUUACCAGAGUUACCAAUGCCUUGGAGUUCUUCCGAACAGAGACAUGAUAACAAGCCCACAAUGCCCUCUUUGUACUUCUGAUUGCGAGAGUGUUCGGCAUGCUCUACUCCUAUGUCCUCGUGUGAAUGAAAUCUGGAGAAUAUUGGGUCUACAAUGGAUGGCCAAUGAUAUGUGCCAAACUGAUCGCGAUUGUGUACACAGUACACCUAAUGGCCUGGCGCCCCUAGCUCCGGGUAUCGAUUGCGAGAUAUUGAUCAUCGUAACCAUUUGGUAUAUCUGAUGGGAGAUAAGGAAAUUCACGCAUGUCGAGAAGUUGCUCGAACUGGCAAGAUCGGGACUCAGGGACGGCUUUCUUUUGGCGACCAACGUGGGCUGCAAGAAACUCCAAUAGAAGCAGACUGCAUGGAGGUAAUCAAAGUGAUGCAAAACGGAGGCAAUUCUUUGGGCUCAAACAUUGUCAUGGCUCCGUCGUUGACGACGUCACCAGACAACCGGCAGCUGGAGUGGGCCUAGCCUGUGCUGUAUGUGGCAAAAUUUCAUGUUUUGACCCUUUUUGCAAACAAAAUCAGGAUCUGACCCUUGUUCGAAAAUAUUUCGGGAUCUGAUCCUUUUGCCUACCGCCAGGGGGUCUGGCGGUAGGUUUGCACGUCCUACCGCCGUCCCCUCUGGCGGUAGGUCCUUUGACGGCGACUGACGGCCGUUGGUAGGCGCUGACGUGGAAAAGGGCCUACCGCCAUCGGGUACGGCGGUAGGUUAGUGAAGCCUACCGCCAGACCCUCUGGCGGUAGGGUCCUGUGUGGUGGAUAAGGUGGGGAGGGGCUGGUUUGUGGGCCCCACCACCACUCUUCUUCCCCACUCAUCUUCUUCCCCGUGCUCAGCUCCUCUCCCCCCUCUCUCCCCUCACAANNNNNNNNNNNNNNNNNNNNNNNNNNNNNNNNNNNNNNNNNNNNNNNNNNNNNNNNNNNNNNNNNNNNNNNNNNNNNNNNNNNNNNNNNNNNNNNNNNNNNNNNNNNNNNNNNNNNNNNNNNNNNNNNNNNNNNNNNNNNNNNNNNNNNNNNNNNNNNNNNNNNNNNNNNNNNNNNNNNNNNNNNNNNNNNNNNNNNNNNNNNNNNNNNNNNNNNNNNNNNNNNNNNNNNNNNNNNNNNNNNNNNNNNNNNNCCACUCCACUUGCUUGAGAUUUCAUCGUGGAUCCGGAGCAUUUUCAUCACCCAAGGUACCUCUCCCAUUCCCCCUCCUUUUGAUUGGUUGAGAUCUUUGUUUCGUGUUGAUUUGGUCAAUUUAUUGCAAACCCUAGGUGUUGAUGUUGUUGUGUGCAUUUAUGAUGCAUUUAUGGUUAGGGUUAUGGUUAUGUUAGGGGUUAGUGUUAGGGUUAGGGUUAGGGUUAUGGUGGUUAUGUUGGGGGUUAGGGUUAUAGGGGUUAUGGUUAGGGUUGGGGUUAAUGGUUAGGUUAACUUUAGUAUGAAUAGUAGUUACUUGUCCAAUUUAUGCAAAAUUUAGUUCAUUUGUCCAUUUGUGUUGGUUGGAUGACAUAUAUGGAUCGAUUAUAUUGUUUCCAAUUUCUUAGAUGCAUAAGCUUGUAAAUGUUCAUUAUUUGGACAAGUCGACAUUUAUGCUUGGAAAUGACGAUGAAGGGGAAGAGGCUAUGGUUUUUGACACAAGUCCAAGCUUUGAUGAUCUUGUAGUUAAAGUGAAAAGCGUUUUACAUUGGAAUGACUCAAAUGCCAUGGUUAAGCUUAUUGGGAGGUAUGACGUUGGAUUGGGAGUAAAGUCCCGAUUAAAGAGUAUGCCCAUCACCUCCCAAUUGCAUUGGAAUGUGUACAAGGAAAAAGUAGACGCAUCACAAGACAAGUCUCUUGAGAUCUUUGCCACAAAGGUUGAUCCUCCUCCUCCUUUGCAAAUUGAUCUCAACCGCAAUGCAUCCUCCCCCAUACAUGAUGAUAGUGCCGAGGUGUAUGUCCCCAAUUGUUCUAGCCAACCACCAAGUAGCCAACCCAAUGAAGAUCAUAUCAAUGCUACCGCCAUAGUACUCCGUCAUGAUGCUAUUCCUCAUGUUGAAGAAGAUGCUAGUGGUCAUGUUGAUGAUGAUGCUAUUGUUGCUCAAGAGGAUGCUUACUCGGAGAAUGAAGAGAUCCAUUACAAUCCAAUUGGUAACUUGGAUAUCAUUGUGCGGCAACAAGACAUGGACUGUACCCUCCCUUAUAACCGUAUGUGUGGGUAUAACUCGGAUGACGAGGGUCCGGAGGAAGAGUUGGAUGAGGAUGGGUUGACUGCACAAGAAAACGAAAUCUACAAGAAGGUGACCGCAAGGAGAGACGGCCGCCGUUGUUUAGGGAUGUGAGUCUUGCGGACAAUGCCGUCGUUGACGGUGGGCUGAGAUUCUGGUUGUCUGAGCCAACGCCGUGCCCCAAAUUCAGUGAUCCUCGACCAGAAAAUGAGGAUGAGAAUGCUCAUUUGAAGAAAGGCAUCAAGUUUGGUUCUUUGGUAGAGUUCAAGAUAUGGUUGUGUGACUAUGCCAUUAGGAACCAUAGGCCGUUUGUUGUUGGUCAUUCGAAUCAAAAACUUCGGUACACAGUCAAAUGUGACCAAGAAGGUUGCAAAUGGAUGGUCCGCGAUAGAAAAAUCAAAGAAAUCGGGCAAUGGGUGUUGAAGAGUCAUGUUGGCACUCACACGUGCGUACCCCCGGACAAGGCCCACCGAAGCAAAGGACACCGUCAACUCACGUCUGAGUAUCUAGGAUACAAAUUGUUGCAUCAAAUAGCACAUGAUCCAACCAUGAAGGUCAAGUUUCUCAUGUCUUCGAUUGAGGAACUUUUCGGAUACCCAUUCAAGUAUGGGAAGGCAUGGAUGGCGAAGGCAAACGUUAUUAGGAUGUUGCAUGGUGAUUAUGAGGCCGCAUAUAACAUUCUUCCCAAGAUGUUGGCAGCCGUUCAUCGAAACCCGGGAAUGCGCCAUCGGGUGGAGUCAAUUGACGGAGUGUUUCGUCGUGCCUUCUGGAGCAUUGAGGCAUUCCCGUAUUGUCUCCCGGUCUUGUCUAUAGAUGGUACAUUCUUGACCGGCAAAUACAAGGGCACAUUGAUGGUUGCGAUGGCCCAAUCUUCAAAUGAUAACGUGUUGCCGGUGGCAUUUGCCUUGGUGCCUUCGGAGCACGAUGAUAAUUGGGAGUGGUUCAUGGGGCAUGUGAGAACCAAGAUGAUAGACAAGCGAGAGGUAUGCAUUAUAUCGGAUCGCCAUCAUGGGAUUCUCAAAGCAAUAGACGUUGAUAUUCCCGGUCUUCCAAAGCUUCAACACCGUUGGUGCAUGAGACACUUUGUUGCAAACUUUUACCGGACAUGCAAGAGCAAAGAGUUUUGCAAAGACCUUACCCUUGUUUGCGUUGCAUUCAACACCGACACAUUCAAAAGCCGAUAUGAUAAACUCCUCAAGGCUUUGGAGAAGAACAAAGCGGGAAAAGAAUUCUUGCUUAGGCACGAGCCGGAUAAAGAAAAGUGGUCACGGGCUUACGAUGAAGGAGGUAUGCGAUAUGGGGAUAUGACAAGCAACAUGGUGGAAUGCUUCAACAAUGUGUUGAAGGGUGUCUGUUCCUUGCCGGUGACCGCAAUACUCAAGUACACUUUCAUCAAGCUCAAUGAGUACUUCCUAAAGCAUUCUGAAAGCACGGCCAAGUGGAUUGGCGAAAAGAUGGACUAUCCAUUAAAGGUUCAUGAUUGGUUGUUGCAUCAAGCGCGCAAGUCUGCCAAACAACAAGUGAUCAAAUAUAAUGAAAAAGAAAUGAUCUAUCAAAUCGAUGAGCUGGGUGGGACAACAAGGGAUGGUAGGUCUUAUGGUGGAGUUGCUUAUGAGGUGCGUCUGAAAACCCGUUGGUGCCAGUGUGAGAGGCCACACAAGUAUCAUUGGCCUUGCUCGUAUUUUAUGACCGCAACACGGGCGAGAAACGUGCGCGUAUCCGAUGGCACAACGGCGCGGUUGCAGGAGUUCACAUUGGAACGAACAAGGUUGACAUGGGCGCCUCGGUUCAAUCCUUUCCUUGAUGCCUCACAGUGGCCUGAGUAUGUUGGGCCAGACAUUGUGCCAGAUCCCGCACUCAUGGUGCCUAUGAGGGGAAGAAGAAGAAAGAAGAGAUUCCGGAGUGACAUGGAUGAUCUAGCUGGAUACACCGGAAUGAAGCAAUUUGGUAGUGGUCAUUUCAUGGAGCCACCGGAGAACAACAAUUGUGGAGAAUGCAACGACACAAGACACAACGUUAGGACAUGCAAGAAACCAAGAACCAACACGGGCACUAGUCAAACACGUGGACGGAGGACUAGCCUUGGAGGUGGCCGUGGCCGUGGAGGGGGCCGUGGCCGUGGAGGAAGGACUAGCCUUGGAGGUGGCCGUGGCCGUGGAGGAAGGACUAGCCUUGGAGGGGGCCGUGGCCAUGGAUCCGGUGGUUCUAGGACACGUCGGGUUGAUAGGGGAAGGCCUAUCGACGUGUUGCUCAAUCCGGAUGGUUGAAAUAAUGUGAAUGGUACUACUUUUAAUAUGUUCAUGCAUGUGUUGAUAUAUUUGCCUCUUUACAUGUCAAUGUGUUCAUAUUUAGACUUAACAUCUUUAUUUGUUGUAGGGCAUGGCUUCAUCCGGUUCCAUGACGAGGCCACCGUGUGCUCACCAAGAAGACAUGCCACACAAGUGGAAGGACGCAUCUUUGGACAAGGUGAAGGAGAAUGAUGUGAAGAUUCCGCCAUGUUGGUGUGGAGAUGUUUGCAAGGUGAAGGAGUCCACCAACCGAAAGAAGUCAUGGACCGAAGGAAGGAGAUAUUUUGUUUGCCCUAAUUAUGCUUACGAUCGUGCGCUUCCAACUAACUCCUAUGACCUUCCACCGGUAUGCUAGAGAAGUAACAUGUUACUCUAAAAUGUGUGUCAACACUAACAUCCGUUUUAUAUGGAGUCACCGCCUCCUCUAUGCAAGUACUUCAGCUGGAUAGAUCAUGAAGUGCCAAAAGAUAUCCAAAAGGGCCAAUUAGAAGAUUGUCUUAGGCGCCAGUGGCUGUUCGAAGAAAGAUUUCAAAGAGGCUUGGAGGAAGAGCGUCGUCAGAAAGAGAGGAUGGAGCGGAAGCAACGCGAGGAUGAGAGGGCACGCCAAGCGAAGCUUGCUCGUGAGGAGGAGAGGGCAAGAAAGCUUGCAAAAGCUCGCAAGGCACAAAAGGAGGAAGAGGCACGUGACAAGAAGGGGAAAUGGCCCCGUAUGACUCAGUAAAGCCUUCGCUUCGGUGGACUCGUCAUGUAACCGGAUGAAGCCAUGCCAAAUUUAUCAUGAACUAUAUAGUACUAAGGCAAGAAGCCAUGUGUCGUGAACUUGUCGUGAAUGAAUUUGCCGUUUGUAUUGAAUUUGGUGUGAAAAUGUUUGCAAGGUGUCGUGAAUGAAUUCAGUUUGUCAUCAUAUUCUGUGAUUUGUCAUGAUUCUUAUUAAAAAAUUGUUGGGCUGGGAAGAGAAGAGGGAUAGAACAGAACAGAGUGCUCUGUUUUUAGAGUUUACAACCCUACCACCAGAGGCCCUGGCGGUAGGCUGCUGUCGUUGGAAAUAUGCCCUAGAGGCAAUAAUAAAAUAGUUAUUAUUAUAUUUCCUUGUUCAUGAUAAUCGUUUAUUAUCCAUGCUAGAAUUGUAUUGAUAGGAAACUCAGAUACAUGUGUGGAUACAUAGACAACACCAUGUCCCUAGUAAGCCUCUAGUUGACUAGCUCGUUGAUCAAUAGAUGGUUACGGUUUCCUGACCAUGGACAUUGGAUGUCGUUGAUAACGGGAUCACAUCAUUAGGAGAAUGAUGUGAUGGACAAGACCCAAUCCUAAGCCUAGCACAAGAUCGUGUAGUUCGUUUGCUAAGAGCUUUUCUAAUGUCAAGUAUCAUUUCCUUAGACCAUGAGAUUGUGCAACUCCCGGAUACCGUAGGAAUGCUUUGGGUGUACCAAACGUCACAACGUAACUGGGUGGCUAUAAAGGUGCACUACAGGUAUCUCCGAAAGUGUCUGUUGGCUUGGCACGAAUCGAGACUGGGAUUUGUCACUCCGUGUAAACGGAGAGGUAUCUCUAGGCCCACUCGGUAGGACAUCAUCAUAAUUUGCACAAUGUGACCAAGGAGUUGAUCACGGGAUGAUGUGUUACGGAACGAGUAAAGAGACUUGCCGGUAACGAGAUUGAACAAGGUAUCGGGAUACCGACGAUCGAAUCUCGGGCAAGUAACAUACCGAUUGACAAAGGGAAUUGUAUACGGGAUUGAUUGAAUCCUCGACAUCGUGGAACAUGUGGGAGCCAACAUGGGUAUCCAGAUCCCGCUGUUGGUUAUUGACCGGAGAGUCGUCUCGGUCAUGUCUGCAUGUCUCCCGAACCCGUAGGGUCUACACACUUAAGGUUCGGUGACGCUAGGGUUGUAGAGAUAUUAGUAUGCGGUAACCCGAAAGUUGUUCGGAGUCCCGGAUGUGAUCCCGGACGUCACGAGGAGUUCUGGAAUGGUCCGGAGGUAAAGAUUUAUAUAUGGGAAGUCUUAUUUUGGUCGCCGGAAAAGUUUCGCGCAUUAUCGGUAUUGUACCGGGAGUGCCGAAAGGGGUCUGGGGGUCCACCAAAGGGGUCCAUUAGCCCUGGGGGGCCACAUGGGCUGUAGGGGUGUGCGCCUUGUCCUUUAUGGGCCAAGGGCACCAGCCCCAAGAGGCCCAUGCGCCAAGAGAUAAGGGAAAGGAAGAGUCCUAAAGAGGGAAGGCACCUCCGAGGUGCCUUGGGGAGGAUGGACUCCUCCCUGGCCGCACCCUUCCUUGGAGGAAGGGCCAAGGCUGCGCCCCCCCCCCCCCUCUCCCUUGGCCCUAUAUAUAGUGGGGGGAGGGAGGGCAGCAAUACCUAAGCCCUGGCGCCUCCCUCUCCCUCCCGUGACACAUCUCCCUCCUCCCGCAGCGCUUGGCGAAGCCCUGUUGGAAUCCCGCUACUUCCACCACCACGCCGUCGUGCUGCUGGAUCUCCAUCAACCUCUCCUCCCCCCUUGCUAGAUCAAGAAGGAGGAGACGUCGCUGCUCCGUAUGUGUGUUGAACGCGGAGGUGCCGUCCGUUCUGCGCUAGGAUCAUCGGUGAUUUGGAUCACGACGAGUACGACUCCAUCAACCCCGUUCUCUUGAACGCUUCCGCUCGCGAUCUACAAGGGUAUGUAGAUGCACUCCUCUCUCUCGUUGCUAGAUGACUCCAUAGAUUGAUCUUGGUGAUGCGUAGAAAAUUUUGAAUUUCUGCUACGUUCCCCAACAGUGGCAUCAUGAGCUAGGUCUAUGCGUAGUUUCUAUGCACGAGUAGAACACAAAGUAGUUGUGGGCGUCGAUUUUGUCAAUUUACUUGCCGUUACUAGUCUUAUCUUGAUUCGGCCGCAUCGUCGGAUGAAGCGGCCCGGACCGACCUUACACGUACACUUACGUGAGACAGGUUCCAUCGACUGACAUGCACUAGUUGCAUAAGGUGGCUAGCGGGUGUCUGUCUCUCCCACUUUAGUCGGAUCGGAUUCGAUGAAAAGGGUCCUUAUGAAGGGUAAAUAGAAAUUGGCAUAUCACGUUGUGGCUUUUGCGUAGGUAAGAAACGUUCUUGCUAGAAACCCAUAGCAGCCACGUAAAACAUGCAACAACAAUUAGAGGACGUCUAACUUGUUUUUGCAGGGAAUGCUAUGUGAUGUGAUAUGGCCAAAAGGAUGUGAUGAAUGAUAUAUGUGAUGUAUGAGAUUGAUCAUGUUCUUGUAAUAGGAAUCACGACUUGCAUGUCGAUGAGUAUGACAACCGGCAGGAGCCAUAGGAGUUGUCUUAAUUUAUUGUAUGACCUGCGUGUCAAUGAAAAAGCCAUGUAAUUACUUUACUUUAUUGCUAACCGUUAGCCAUAGUAGUAGAAGUAAUAGUUGGCGAGACAACUUCAUGAAGACACGAUGAUGGAGAUCAUGAUGAGGGAGAUCAUGGUGUCAUGCCGGUGACGAAGGUGAUCAUGCCGUGCCUCGAAGAUGGAGAUCAAAAGGCGCAAGAUGAUAUUGGCCAUAUCAUGUCACUUUGUGAUUUGCAUGUGAUGUUUGUCAUGUUUACAUCUUAUUUUCUUAGAACGACGGUAGCAUAAAUAAGAUGAUCCCUCACUAAAAUUUCAAGAGACGUGUUCCCCCUAACUGUGCACCGUUGCGAAGGUUCGUUGUUUCGAAGCACCACGUGAUGAUCGGGUGUGAUAGAUUCUAACGUUCGCAUACAACGGGUGUUGACGAGCCUAGCAUGUACAGACAUGGCCUCGGAACACAUGCGAAACACUUAGGUUGACUUGACGAGCCUAGCAUGUACAGACAUGGCCUCGGAACACAAGAGAUCGAAAGGUCGAACAUGAGUCGUAUAGUAGAUGCGAUCAACAUGGAGAUGUUCACCGAUGAUGACUAGUCCGUCUCACGUGAUGAUCGGACACGGCCUAGUUUGACUCGGAUCAUGUAUCACUUAGAUGACUAGAGGGAUGUCUAUCUGAGUGGGAGUUCAUUAAAUAAUCAGAUGAACUUCAUUAUCAUGAACAUAGUCAAAAGGUCUUUGCAAAUUAUGUCGUAGCUUACGCUUUAGUUCUACUAAGAUAUGUUCCUAGAGAAAACUUAGUUGAAAGUUGAUAGUAGCAAUUAUGCGGACUGGGUCCGUAAACUGAGGAUUGUCCUCAUUGCUGCACAGAAGGCUUAUGUCCUUAAUGCACCGCUCGGUGUGCUGAACCUCAGCGUCGUCUGUAGAUGUUGUGAAACGUCUGACAUACACGUUUUGAUGACUACGUGAUAGUUCAGUGCGUAGUGCUAACGGUUUAGAAUUGUGGCACCAAAAACGUUUUUGAAACGUCGCAGAACAUAUGAGAUGUUCCGAAGACUGAAAUUGGGAUUUCAGAAUAGUGCCCACGUCAAGAGGUAUGAGACCUCUGACAAGUUUCUUAAGCCUGCAAACUAAGGGAGAAAAGCUCAAUCGUUGAGCAUGUGCUCAGAUUGUCUAAGUACUACAAUCGCUUGAAUCGAGUGGGAGUUAAUCUUUCAGAUGAGAUAGUGAUGGUUCUCCAUAGUCACUGCUACCAAGCUAUUAGAGCUUCGUGAUGAACUAUAACAUAUCAGGGAUAGAUAUGAUGAUCCUUGAGCAACUCGCGAUGUUUGACACCGCGAAAGUAGAAAUCAAGAAGGAGCAUCAAUUGUUGAUGGUUAGUAAAACCACUAGUUUCUAGAAGGGCAAUGGCAAAAGGGAUACUUCAUGAAAUAGCAAAUCAUUUGCUGCUCUAGUAUAGAAUCCCAAGGUUGAACCCAAACCCGAGACUAAGUGCUUCUGUAAUGAGGGGAACGGUCACUGAAGCAGAACUACCCUAGAUACUUGGUAGAUGAGAAGGCAGGCAAGGUCGACAGAAGUAUAUUGGAUAUACAUUAUAUGAAUGUGUACUUUACUAGUACUCCUAGAAGCACCAGGGUAUUAGAUACCGUUUCGGUUGCUAAGUGUUAGUAACUCAAAAUAAAAGUUGCGGAAUAAACGAAGACUAGCUAAAGGUGAGAUGACGAUAUGUGUUGGAAGUGUUUCCAAGGUUGAUGUGAUCAAGCAUCGCAUGCUCCCUCUACCAUCGAGAUUGGUGUUAAACCUAAAUAAUUGUUAUUUGGUGUUUGCGUUGAGCAUAAACAUGAUUGGAUUAUGUUUAUCGCAAUACGGUUAUUCAUUUAAGGAGAAUAAUGGUUACUCUGUUUAUUUGAAUAAUACCUUCAAUGGUCUUGCACCUAAAAUGAAUCUCGAUCGUAGUGAUACACAUGUUCAUGCCAAAAGAUAUAAGAUAGUAAUGAUAGUACCACAUACUUGUGGCACUGCUAUUUGAGUCAUAUUGGGAUAGAACGCAUGACGAAGCUCCAUGUAGAUGGAACUUUGGACUCACUCGUUUUUUAAAAGAUUGAGACAUGCGAACCAUGUCUAUUGGUAUAUAUGCAUGAAGAAACUCCAUGCAGAUGGAUCGUUUGGACUCACUUGAUUUUGAAUCACUUGAGACAUGCAAAUUAUACCACAUGGGCAAGAUGACUGAAAGGCCUCGUUUUCAGUAAAAUGGAACAAGAGAGCAACUUGUUGGAAGAAAUACAUUUGAUGUGUGCAGUCCAAUGAGUGCUGAGGCACGCAGUGGAUAUCGAUAUGUUCUUACUUCACAGAUGAUUUGAGUAGAUGCUAAGAAUAUUUACUUGAUGAAACACAAGUCUGAAUUAUUGAAAGGUUCAAGUAAUUUCAGAGUGAAGUUGAAGAUCGUCGUGACAAGAGGAUAAAAUGUCUGUGAUAUGAUCAUGGAGAUGAGUAUCUGAGUUAUGAGUUUGGCACACAAUUAAGACAUUGUGGAAAGUGUUCCACAAUUAAUACCGCCUGGAACACCACAGUGUGAUGGUGUGUCCGAACAUCAUAACUGCACCCUAUUGGAUAUGGUGCAUACCAUGAUGUCUCUUAUCGAAUUACCACUAUCAUUCAUGGGUUAGGCAUUAGAGACAACCGCAUUCACUUUAAAUAGGGCACCACGCAAUUCCGUUAAGACGACACCGUAUGAACUAUGGUUUAGAGAAACCUAAGCUGUCGUUUCUUAAAAGUUUGGAGCUGCGAUGCUUAUGUGAAAAAGUUUCAGGCUAAUAAGCUCGAAACCAAAGCGGAUAAAUGCAUAUUCAUAGAAUACCCAAAACAGUUGGGUAUACCUCCUAUUUCAGAUCUGGAAGCAAAAGUAAUUGCUUCUAGAAAUGAGUCCUUUCUCGAGGAAAAGUUCUCUCGAAAGAAUUGAGUGGGAGGAUGGUGGAGACUUGAUGAGGUUGUUGAACCGUCACUUCAACUAGUGUGUAGCAGGGCACAAGAAGUUGUUCCUGUGGCACCUACACCAAUUGAAGUGGAAGCUUAUGAUAGUGAUCAUGAAACUUCGGAUCAAGUCACUACCAAACCUCGUAGGACGACGAGGAUGCGUACUAAUUCAGAGUGGUACGUAAUCCUGUCUUGGAAGUCAUGUUGCUAGACAACAAUGAACCUACGAGCUAUGGAGAAGCGAUGGUGGGCUCGGAUUCCGACGAAUGGCUCGAGGCCAUAAAAUCCGAGAGAGGAUCCAUGUAUAAAAGCAAAGUAUAGACUUUGGAAGAAAUACUUGAUGGUCGUGAGGCUGUUGGGUGCAGAUGGAUUUUAAAAGGAAGACAGACAAUGAUGGUAAGUGUCACCAUUAAGAAAGCUCGGCUUGUCGUUAAGAUGUUUUCCGACAAGUUCAAGGAGUUGACUACGAUGAGACUUUCUCACUCGUAGCGAUGCUAAGAGUCUGUUGGAAUUGUAUUAGCAGUCUUGCAGAUAGGAUGUCAAAACAUUGUUUCCUCGACGAUUUUCUUGAGGAAAGGUUGUAUGUGAUACAACCAGAAGGUUUUUGUCAAUCCUGAAAGAUGCUAACAAGUGUGCAAAGCUCCAGCAAUCCUUCUAAGGACUGGAGUAAGCAUCUCGGAGUUGGAAUGUACGCUUUGAUGAGAUGAUCAAAGAUUUUGGGUUUGUACAAAGUUUGUUAGAAACUUGUAUUUACAAUAAAGUGAGUGGGAGCGCUACAACAUUUUUGAUAAGUAUAUGUGAAUGACAUAUUGUUGAUCCGAAAUGAUGUAGAAUUUCUGGAAAGCGUAAAGGGUUGUUUGAAAAGUGUUUUUCAAUGCAAAACCUGGAUUAAGCUGCUUACAUAUUGGGCAUCAAGAUCUAUAGAGAUAGAUCAAGACGCCUGAUGAUACUUUCAAAGAACGCACACCUUGACAUGAUUUUGAAAGAGUUCAAAAUAGAUCAGCAAAGAAGGAGUUCUUGGCUGUGUUACAAGGUGUGAGUAUUGAGUAAGACUCAAGACCUGACCACAGCAGAAGAGAGAGAAAGGACGAAGGUCGUCCCCUAUGCUUUAGACGUAGGCUCUACAGUAUGCUAUGCUGUGUACCGCACAUGAAGUGUGCCUUGCCAUGAGUUGGUCAAGGGGUACAAUAGUGAUCAGGGAAUGGAUCACAUAACAACGGUCGAAUUUAUGCUUAGUAUCUAGUGGACUAAGGAAUUUUCUCGAUUAUGGAGGUGAAAAGGAGUUCGUCGUAAAGGGUUACGUCGAUGCGAACUUUGACACUAAUCCGGAUGACUCUGAGUAGUAAACCGGAUUCGUAUAGUAGAGCAGUUAUUUGAAAUGGCUCCAAAUAGCGCGUGGUAGCAUCCACAAGAUGACAUAGAUAUUCGUAAAGCACACACGGAUCUGAAAGGUUCAGACACGUUGACUAAUAACCUCUCUCACAAGCAUAACAUGAUCAAACCAGAACUCAUUGAGUGUUAAUCACAUAGUGAUGUGAACUAGAUUGUUGACUCUAGUAAACUCUUUGGAUGUUGGUCACAUGGUGAUGUGACCUAUGAGUGUUAAUCACAUGGCGAUGUGAACUAGAUUAUUGACUCUAGUGCAAGUGGGAGACUGUUGGAAAUAUGCCCUAGAGGCAAUAAUAAAAUGGUUAUUAUUAUAUUUCCUUGUUCAUGAUAAUCGUUUAUUAUCCAUGCUAGAAUUGUAUUGAUAGGAAACUCAGAUACAUGUGUGGAUACAUAGACAACACCAUGUCCCUAGUAAGCCUCUAGUUGACUAGCUCGUUGAUCAAUAGAUGGUUACGGUUUCCUGACCAUGGACAUUGGAUGUCGUUGAUAACGGGAUCACAUCAUUAGGAGAAUGAUGUGAUGGACAAGACCCAAUCCUAAGCCUAGCACAAGAUCGUGUAGUUCGUUUGCUAAGAGCUUUUCUAAUGUCAAGUAUCAUUUCCUUAGACCAUGAGAUUGUGCAACUCCCGGAUACCGUAGGAAUGCUUUGGGUGUACCAAACGUCACAACGUAACUGGGUGGCUAUAAAGGUGCACUACAGGUAUCUCCGAAAGUGUCUGUUGGCUUGGCACGAAUCGAGACUGGGAUUUGUCACUCCGUGUAAACGGAGAGGUAUCUCUAGGCCCACUCGGUAGGACAUCAUCAUAGUUUGCACAAUGUGACCAAGGAGUUGAUCACGGGAUGAUGUGUUACGGAACGAGUAAAGAGACUUGCCGGUAACGAGAUUGAAUAAGGUAUCGGGAUACCGACGAUCGAAUCUCGGGCAAGUAACAUACCGAUUGACAAAGGGAAUUGUAUACAGGAUUGAUUGAAUCCUCGACAUCGUGGUUCAUCCGAUGAGAACAUCAUGGAACAUGUGGGAGCCAACAUGGGUAUCCAGAUCCCGCUGUUGGUUAUUGACCGGAGAGUCGUCUCGGUCAUGUCUGCAUGUCUCCCGAACCCGUAGGGUCUACACACUUAACGUUCGGUGACACUAGGGUUGUAGAGAUAUUAGUAUGCGGUAACCCGAAAGUUGUUUGGAGUCCCGGAUGUGAUCCCGGACGUCAUGAGGAGUUCCGGAAUGGUCUGGAGGUAAAGAUUUAUAUAUGGGAAGUCUUAUUUUGGUCGCCGGAAAAGUUUCGCGCAUUAUCGGUAUUGUACCGGGAGUGCCGAAAGGGUCCGGGGGUCCACCAAAGGGGUCCAUCAGCCCCGGGGGGGCACAUGGGCUGUAGGGGUGUGCGCCUUGGCCUUUAUGGGCCAAGGGCACCAGCCCCAAGAGGCCCAUGCGCCAAGAGAUAAGGGAAAUGAAGAGUCCUAAAGGGGGAAGGCACCUCCGAGGUGCCUUGGGGAGGAUGGACUNNNNNNNNNNNNNNNNNNNNNNNNNNNNNNNNNNNNNNNNNNNNNNNNNNNNNNNNNNNNNNNNNNNNNNNNNNNNNNNNNNNNNNNNNNNNNNNNNNNNNNNNNNNNNNNNNNNNNNNNNNNNNNNNNNNNNNNNNNNNNNNNNNNNNNNNNNNNNNNNNNNNNNNNNNNNNNNNNNNNNNNNNNNNNNNNNNNNNNNNNNNNNNNNNNNNNNAUCGUAGCAUAAUUUUAAAAUUUUCCUACGUUCACCAAGAUGCAUCUAUGGAGUAUACUAGCAACGAGGGGAAGGGAGUGCAUCUACAUACCCUUGUAGAUCGCGAGCGGAAGCGUUCCAAUGAACGUGGAUGACGGAGUCGUACUCGCCGUGAUCCAAAUCACCGAUGACCGAGUGCCGAACGGACGGCACCUCCGCGUUCAACACACGUACGGUGCAGCGACGUCUCCUCCUUCUUGAUCCAGCAAGGGGGAAGGAGAGGUUGAUGGAGAUCCAGCAGCACGACGGCGUGGUGGUGGAUGUAGCGGUUCUCCGGCAGGGCUUCGCCGAGCUUCUGCGAGAGAGAGAGAGAGAGGUGUUGCAGGGGAGGAGGGAGGCGCCCAAGGCUGUAGGUUGCUGCCCUCCCUCCCCCCCCCUUAUAUAGGCCCCCUUGGGAGGAGGGGGCGGCCAAAACCCAUCUAGGGUUGGGGGGCGGCGGCCAAAGGGGGAAAGGGGUUGCCUUGCCCCCCAAGGCAAGGGGGAAGUCCCCCCACCCUAGGGUUCCCAACCCUAGGCGCAUGGGGGGAGGCCCAUGGGGGGGCGCCCAGCCCACUAGGGGAUGGUUCCCUUCCACUUUCAGCCCAUGGGGCCCUCCGGGAUAGGUGGCCCCACCCGGUGGACCCCCGGGACCCUUCCGGUGGUCCCGGUACAAUACCGGUAACCCCCGAAACUUUCCCGGUAGCCGAAACUGGACUUCCUAUAUAUAAUUCUUCACCUCCGGACCAUUCCGGAACCUCUCGUGACGUCCGGGAUCUCAUCCGGGACUCCGAACAACUUUCGGGUUUCCGCAUACAUAUAUCUCUACAACCCUAGCGUCACCGAACCUUAAGUGUGUAGACCCAACGGGUUCGGGAGACAUGCUGACAUGACCGAGACGCCUCUCCGGUCAAUAACCAACAGCGGGAUCUGGAUACCCAUGUUGGCUCCCACAUGUUCCACGAUGAUCUCAUCGGAUGAACCACGAUGUCGAGGAUUCAGUCAAUCCCGUAUACAAUUCCCUUUGUCAAUCGGUAUGUUACUUGCCCGAGAUUCGAUCGUCGGUAUCCCAAUACCUUGUUCAAUCUCGUUACCGGCAAGUCUCUUUACUCGUACCGCAAUGCAUGAUCCCGUGAUUAACGCCUUAGUCACAUUGAGCUCAUUAUGAUGAUGCAUUACCGAGUGGGCCCAGAGAUACCUCUCCGUCACACGGAGUGACAAAUCCCAGUCUCGAUCCGUGCCAACCCAACAGACACUUUCGGAGAUACCCGUAGUGCACCUUUAUAGUCACCCAGUUACGUUGUGACGUUUGGCACACCCAAAGCACUCCUACGGUAUCCGGGAGUUGCACGAUCUCAUGGUCUAAGGAAAAGAUACUUGACAUUGGAAAAGCUCUAGCAAACGAAACUACACGAUCUUUUAUGCUAUGCUUAGGAUUGGGUCUUGUCCAUCACAUCAUUCUCCUAAUGAUGUGAUCCCGUUAUCAAUGACAUCCAAUGUCCAUAGUCAGGAAACCACGACUAUCUGUUGAUCAACGAGCUAGUCAACUAGAGGCUUACUAGGGACACGUUGUGGUCUAUGCAUUCACACAUGUAUUACGAUUUCCGGACAAUACAAUUAUAGCAUGAAUAAUAGACAAUUACCAUGAACAAACAAAUAUAAUAAUAACCAUUUAUUAUUGCCUCUAGGGCAUAUUUCCAACAAGCAAUACCUAAGCCCUGGCGCCUCCCUCUCCCUCCCGUGACACAUCUCCCUCCUCCCGCAGCGCUUGGCGAAGCCCUGUUGGAAUCCCGCUACUUCCACCACCACGCCGUCGUGCUGCUGGAUCUCCAUCAACCUCUCCUCCCCCCUUGCUGGAUCAAGAAGGAGGAGACGUCGCUGCUCCGUAUGUGUGUUGAACGCGGAGGUGCCGUCCGUUCGGCGCUAGGAUCAUCGGUGAUUUGGAUCAUGACGAGUACGACUCCAUCAACCCCGUUCUCUUGAACGCUUCCGCUCGCGAUCUACAAGGGUAUGUAGAUGCACUCCUCUCUCUCGUUGCUAGAUGACUCCAUAGAUUGAUCUUGGUGAUGCGUAGAAAAUUUUGAAUUUCUGCUACGUUCCCCAACAGCUGUACCCUACCGCCAGAGCCCGUGGCGGUAGGGGGUGUAUAUUUUCUGUAACGAGAAACGCCAGCGCCCCCUACCGCCACGGGCUCUGGCGGUAGGGUACAGCAGCCUACCGCCAGGGCCUGUGGCGGUAGGGUUUGGUCCCUCCUUCUCUCCUCUGUUCUUCUCCUCUGUUUUGCCCCAUUUGUCGAAUGUCAGCAUAAUAUACCCAAUUCUAUCAAAUAUUAGAAUGAUCAUCUCGCAAGCACAUACAUAACUCAAUUCAACAUAGUUCAUUACAUUCACGAAUAACACAUGUUCAAACUUAUUAAAACAUGACCCGGUUCGGAUGACAUCGGUUGAAACUAAUAACUCAUGCUCAACGGCACAUUUUCUAAACAGGUAACAUAUUUCUCAUACUUAUCAGACGUUCAAUUUGAUCGUCACGCGCUUGAUUACGCUUCAGUUGAAAGUCUGUGGAUCCUGCCCAAUGACCCAACACACCAUUCGUUUCACGGAACCAAGCCCAUGCAACACGGCGAGCGGGAUUCUCUGACACGCCUUGUUUGAUUGCCCAUCCUAUGACCUGGUCGGGUUUCCUCAAGUCCAUCGCACGGAAUUCUUCUUUGCUUGCAGUGAACGCAAUCUCAACUGCCAAAGCGUGUCUGCAAGCAUAUUCCCGGUCUUGCAGCUCAUCAAGCAUCCUCUCUUUCUCCUUCACAAGCUUUCGGAAAGCUUUUUUCUCCUUAGCAUCAGAAGGUUCCUUGAUAAAGUGAUAUUUGUUGAAAUCCUUCAUGGCCGCAUUUGCCUCAUCACAACUCUUCAACCAUGCUUCACAUUCCUUCUUCAAGCAACGGUGUCGCUCCGCCAUGAUCUUCUCAUACGCUAUAUUCAUAGUCAUGGAUUGACUAUCCAUCCUACAUGAAUAUACGGGUUUAAGAUGACAUAAACCAAAACAUAAAAUAAAUUCAGUAGAGUACAACACUUGGUUACUUGAUAUGACAUACAACACCAAGUUCUUAAUGAGUUCAAAUGUUAAGGGUACAAGUCAUAGUAGUUCAAAUGAUGACCAAGCAUAGGGUACAUGUCAUUAUAGUCCAAAUGACAAAGAUUACAUAGCCUCAUGCAAUUCUAUGCGGCGCACGGUCCCGGGUUGCAACAAAUAACAUCAUUUCUUUCUUUGACCCAUGCCCAACGAGAAGCCCGGUUCUCGUCCGACGAGAAUGGGUGGCGAACUAACCAAUCAAUGACCUGACUAUGAUUGCCCAUGUCUAUCUCAGCAUAUUCUCCCCUUGUCACACACAAUGCAAUUUGCAUUGCAAGAUCACGCCUACAAUUUUUUCUGCCGUCUUGAGCUUCUUCAUCUGCCUCUUCUUUUUUGUUAUAAAAUUUUCGGAACGGUCUUUAUUGAAAUAAUUAUAUGAAAAUGCCCUACACUCCGCAUUCAACGCAUCAAUGGCUUCGAUCCACAAGUUCAUCUUUUCCUCAAUCAAUUCGCGUUCACGGUUCGCCGCCGCCUCAGCAGAAGUUUCAAAGAAAACGAACGGUGCCAUCCUACAUUUUGAAAAGUUGCUAUUAAAGUAACUUAGCUUUAAUUGCUUUCUUAAGCCUAACCCAAUCCCAAUUAUGUACAUUAAGACUAGCACUAGAUCUAGGUACACAAACUAUUCUACAAGCAAUUCUAAGCACAUCAUACAUAAGGAAAUCACAAACAUAAACCUAAAUGGAUCAGAGUAAUUGAUUUGACCACACCAAAAUGAUGAACUAGGGUUUGCAAUCAAAUGAGCAAAUGCAAAGUAAACAAAGAUAUCAGCCAAUCAAAAUGAGGGGAAAUGAGAAAGCCACCUUGAGUGAUGAAAAUGGUAAGAAUCCACCGGAGAAAUCUCAAACAAAUGAGAGAGAUUUGGGAGGCUCUUGUGCUUCAAACAAAGAGGGGGGAGAGUUGAGCUCGGUGGAGAGGUGAAGUGGCCUGAAUGAGUGGUUGAGAAGGGGGAGGAAAUAUCCAGCCCCUCCCCACCUUAUCCACCACACAGGUCCCUACCGCCAGAGGGUCUGGCAGUAGGCAAAAGGGUCAGAUCCCGAAAUAUUUUCGAACGGGGUCAGAUCCUGAUUUUGUUUGCAAAAAGGGUCAAAACACGAAAUUUUGCCGAUGAAGCCAUGACGUGCGUUGGGUUAUGUACCACUCCGAAGAAAAGAAAAUAAUCUAAACUCUCACGAGAAGUGUAUGGAUGAACCCGAAUACAUAUGAACCCAUUUUAAAAAACACAUUUCUAAAUGCUGAAAGAAAUCUAAAACAAAUUGCACAGGUAUGUCUCCAUGUGUGUGCAUAAAGUUUCACGGAAAAAUAAUAUUUUUUGUGGUAUGUGUAAAAAAACAAAAAAUUAUGUUGUGAAAACAUUAUUUAGAAGCACUGAAAUUUAUCCUUUUUGUGGAAACAAAACAAAAUGACAUUCUUUUCACAAAACUUUAUGCCGCACACACACAUUUGCGAACAUGUCUGCGUAAUAUUUUCUUUUAAAUUUUUUUACAUUUUAAAGCGUGCUUAAAAUGCAUUUUUGGAAAAAUGGGUGCAUAUGCCCAUGGCUUCAGGUGGUGCCCUCUCAAACUCUCACCUGCUUCUCUGUUUUCCCAUCCCCCUCUUUGUCUCUCUCAACUACCCCAAUUUUCCCAUCUGAUGCUGGACUUGGUGUGAGAUCCUCCCAGAGUCCUCACACAUAGCAGUGAUGUACUUCCUCCGUCUCAUAAUAUAAUAGCACCCUUUUUGACACUAAAACGAUGUUAUAUUAUGGGCUGGAGGAAGUAGUGGCAAAGUCUAGUUUUUAAAAUCAAUAAUUAUCUACAAGUAGUUUGACAACCCGUGUAUUUUUUGUCAAUUAAUAUGGACAGUAUCAGUAUCUCUUAUAGUACCAGUUGAUAACUUUUGAAAAAAUAAUACGUAUUAAAACGUUGAGAAGUAAUCCCUCCAUUCCUUUUUAUGUUCCUUUUUAUAAGGUGUAUUUGUUUUUUAAUAAAAUUUCAAAAUAUAAGGUGCAUUUCUUCUAAUUCUUCAUAAUUCCCUUGUUAGCCCUCAAAAAAGGAAAAUUAUCUCUAACCUGAUUGUCUAUAUCUCUCCUUGGCAAAAGAAAGAAAAUAUCUCUCUCUUGAUUGCAUGUAUCUCUUACUUUUCUAGACUAAUUGAUUUACUUGCCACUGAACAACAAAUUUGCCAAGGGUAAUUUCAUCUGAACAUGUCUAUAAUUAUGUGUCUUAAUCACCAUGCCAAAAAUAAUACAGCUUACAUAAAAAAAACUGAGGGAGUAUUAAUGACCGACGAGUCAACAGUUUGAUAACUUACAUAUGGCAAACUAGAAAAAAUCAUUGAAACAUACCAACAUGAGAUCCGAUUUCGAAAAUCUCAUCACAACGGAUUUAAUCAUAAAAACAGAUCUUAAUCCAGCUUUUGAAUAUUUUCUGGUUUAUCUGUAUGCAUGCAUUGUUGCAAAGGAAUGAGAUAGCAAGAACCACGGGUGAUGAACCAUUCAUGCCGCAGUUACACUAGGAAAAAGUUUUAUGCAUGCAUUGUUGCAAAGGAAUGAGAUAGCAAGAACCACGGGUGAUGAACCAUUCAUGCCGCAGUUACACUAGGAAAAAGUUUUAUGCAUGCAUUGUUGCAAAGGAAUGAGAUAGCAAGAACCACGGGUGAUGAACCAUGCAUGCCGCAGUUACACUAGGAAAAAGUGUUCGGUACUAUUAUUAGAUUCGUAACGUUCGUCAAAUAUAACACUCCAUUUGAUAAACCAAACUGUAAUUACACAACAACUGUGACCCUUAAACACCAUCCUGUGAUGUGGAAACGGACACUGCUUCUAGUCGACUUUCGUGAAUAAUUUUAUCUUCACGUAUCACAAUUUGUGAAAGUAGGGUGACAACGACCAAUCAAGCAGCCACUUUAACAUGUAUGAAGACCAGUCCCAACAAAUCAG
rnacentral:lncRNA from 1 species